rnacentral:lncRNA from 1 species
UUAAGUCCUUACCUUUUUGCGUUGGUAAUGGAUGAGUUAACAGGACAUAUUCAAGAUGAUAUUCCUUGGUGUAUGCUUUUCGCAGACGAUAUAUAGUGUUGAUAGAUGAAACUCAGGAAGGGGUAAAUGCAAAGCUUAACCUUUGGAGAGAAGUGUUGGAAUCUAAAGGUCUUCGCCUAAGCCGAUCAAAGACAGAAUAUAUGGAGUGCAAGUUUAGUGCAGAUGGAGGCCAAAACGAGUUAGGGGUGAGGAUCGGAGAUCAAGAAAUACCAAAGAGCGACCGUUUUCGUUACCUAGGAUCUAUCUUGCAAAAGAACGGAGAAUUAGAUGGAGAUCUCAACCAUAGAAUACAAGCUGGAUGGAUGAAGUGGAAGAGUGCAUCUGGCGUGUUGUGUGACCGCCGUAUGCCACUGAAGCUCAAAGGAAAAUUCUAUAGGACGGCAAUAAGGCCGGCGAUGCUGUAUGGCACAGAAUGUUGGGCGGUGAAGCAUCAACACGUACACAAAAUGGGUGUAGCGGAGAUGAGGAUGCUUCGUUGGAUGUGUGGGCACACGAGAAAGGAUAAGAUUAGGAAUGAGGAUAUCCGGGGUAAAGUAGGAGUAGCCGAAAUUGAAGGAAAGAUGAGAGAAAAUCGGUUACGGUGGUUUGGACAUGUGCAAAGAAGGCCUACUGACGCUCCGAUUAGAAAGAUGCGACUAUGGGACAGAGGUUCAGGGCCGAAGGGGUAGAGGAAGACCUAGGAAAACUUUGGAAGAGACUCUAAGAAAAGACUUAGAGUACUUGGAUCUAACGAAGGACAUGACACAGGACCGAGCACAAAUGGCGUUCUAAGAUUCAUAUAGCCGAUCCCACUCAGUGACUUGGAUUUUCCAAGUCUCCAACCGAGAAGUUUUCCUCACUCGAAAAAAUUAAGGGAACACUACCCCAACCUACAUGCUCCACUCAGAAAGCUUCAACAUACAAGCUUCAACAAAAGAAAAUUCAAAGAACUUAGCGAAGAAGGCUUUGGUGUAUUUAACACAAUACGUUGAAAUGAAGGAAAACUUAUUUAUUGAUAUCCCCGAUAAGCUACAAAUAUGUACAUAUACAUGAGUCAAAAUAAACAAACAAGAUGGAGCCUUCACAAAGGUUGCUUAGGAGAAGUCUCAGCAGUCGGUAGAGCCCCAGAAAAGAGAAGGCAUCGGAGGGGGAUCAUUCGGAGCCUCAGUACUGGACAGAACCCUAGAAGGAGGAGGCAUCAGAGGUUGAUCAUUUGGAGCUUCAUUACGCGGUACAGCCCCAGAAGACGAAGGCAAUAAAUGCCUUUGGAACAAACCCACAAAUCUCUGAUGAUCAAGUAAAACCUGACCAUCAGUUUCCUUCAUCUGGUCAAGCUUCCUCUUCAUGUUUGUAGCAUAGUCAUGUGCGAGUCGGUGCAACUGUUUAUUCUCAUGCUUGAGCCCUCUAAUCUCCUGUUUGAGACUCAUCACUUCGGCCGCCAAUGACUCAACUUGGCGGGUUCGAGCAAAUAGGCGUUGGGCCAUAUUAGACACAGAAACUGCACACUGAACACUGAGAGCCAGUGAAUCCUUAACAGCUAACUCAUCAGACCGUUUGGAAAGUAGUCUGUUAUCUUUGGGAGUGAGAAGGUUCCUGGCCACCACCGCAGCGGUCAUAUCAUUCUUCAUCACGGAAUCCCCAACGGUAAGAGGACCAGUAAGGGAGACGAAGGAUGGGCGCCAUAUGUUGUCUGGAGAAGGCGGGGCUGCCUCUUCAACAAGGUUCAAGUCAAAACGACGGUCGGAGGGGCCAGACAUUUUCAAAGGUAUUGAAGAGAGAAGAGGUCGGACAAAUCAAGAUCUUAGAAGUGCAAGAAUGGAGCUUCUACUGGUGGAGAUUCAAGUGUGCUUUGGAACUUAAUGCCAGCCUCUAUAAAAAGCUGCACUCGACGGAGCUUCAGACAUCGAAGAGGCGCCUGCUCAGAAAUCGAAGAGGCGUUUGCUUUCUCAAAAGCUGGGCUGCUUAGAGACCACGAGGGUUGAUCUCAUAAAUCGAAGAGGUGUUUGCUUUCUCAAAAGUUGGGCUGCUCAAAGACCACGAAAGCCGAUCUCAGAAAUCGAAGAGGCGCUCGCUUCCUCAAAAGCUGGGCUCCUCAGAGACCACGAGGGCCGAUCUCAGAAAUCGAAGAGGCACCUACUUUUCCAGCCUUGUCAGCACCUGUCACACGUACACUCAGCUUUACGGAAAUUAUGGGUAUUCUGUCGAAGACUUCUGGGGAAGUAAAAAACACAUGAAUCUUACUGUCCAAUCACCCACUUCCCACACGCAGCAAUAGCUCAUGGGUACCACAGAUAACUUUGCCAAAGUUCUCUGCCAAAGUUGAGCACGUGAAGCUUGCAGCUCCCACUACAUCGCUCUGACCAAGAAGGGUAAAAGAAUAGCAAAGAAACAGCACUAACAAAGUUUAGACCCAUAAAUUUUGAAGGUCUAGCUACCAUAUUAUUACCCACAAGGGUAAAGGAACAGUACCACUGUUGGAUAAUUGGAAAGUCCCUGUGUGUCAACCUCUGUGCCUCGUGGCAAGGUAGACUAGCAAAACAUGCCCAACCUUUACUCACAUUCGAGAAAACACUCCCAAUAAGAUUGCUUGCUCCAAAAUCGAAGAGGCACCGUCCUCCGAAUCUCGAGAGCCAGACUCCCAACAUGACUACUUUCUCAAAAAUCGAAGAGAGGGUAAAGGAACAGUACCAUUGCUGGAUAAUUGGAAAGUCCUUGUGUGUCAACCUCUGUGCUUCGUGGCAAGGUAGACUAGCAAACAUGCCCAACCUUUACUCACAUUUGAGAAAACACUCCCAACAAGAUUGCUUGCUCCAAAAUCGAAGAGGCACCACCCUCGAAUCUCGAGAGCCAGACUCCCAACAUGAUUACUUUUUCAAAAAUCGAAGAGACACUGCUCCCCGAAUCUCGAGAGCCAGACCCCCAGCAUGAUUGCUUUCUCAAAAAUCGAAGAGGCAUCGUUCUCCGAAUCAAUCGAAGAGGCGCUCGCUUUCUCAAAAGCUGGGCUGCUCAGAGACCACGAGGGCCGAUCUCAGAAAUCAAAGAGGCACCUUCUUUUCUAGCCUUGUCAGCACCUGUCACACGCACACUCAGCUUUGCGGAAAUUAUGGGCAUUCUGUCGAAGACUUCUGGUGAAGUAGAAAGCACAUGAAUCUUACUGUUCAAUCACCCACUUCCCACACGCAACAAUAGCUCAUGGGUACCACAGAUAACUUUGUCAAAGUCUCUGCCAAAGUUGAGCACGUGAAGCUUGCAGCUCCCACUACAUCGCUCUGACCAAGAAAGGUAAAAGAAUAGCAAAGAAACAGCACUAACAAAGUUUAGACACAUAAAUUUUGAAGGUCUAGCUACCAUAUUAUUACCCACAAGGGUAAAGGAACAGUACCACUGCUGGAUAAUUGGAAAGUCCCUGUGUGUCAACCUCCGUGCUUCGUGGCAAGGUAGACUAGCAAACAUGCCCAACCUUUACUCACAUCCGAGAAAACACUCCCAACAAGAUUGCUUACUCCAAAAUCGAAGAGGCACCGCCUUCCGAAUCUCGAGAGACAGACUCCCAAACAUGAUUACUUUCUCAAAAAUCGAAGAGACACUGCUCCCCGAAUCUCGAGAGCCAGACCCCCACCAUGAUUGCUUUCUCAAAAAUCGAAGAAGCAUCGUUCUCCGAAUCUCGAGAGCCAGAUACCACAUACCACUUUUUCAAAGUGCUCUGACAGAGUUAAAACAUGUGAAGCUGGCAGCUCCCACUACCGUGCUAUGACCAAGCAGGGUAAAGGAAUAGCAUUACUACUUGUUGUUAGGGAGACUCCUAUAUAUGUCGACCUCCAUCCCCAACGGACAGGCAGACCUGCAAAAAUGCUCAACCCUUCCUCAUAUCUGAGAGGGCACUCCCAACGAAGCCUUUCGAAAUAUUCAGCUUUCUUUCCCCCCGAUAAUACCUCUGCAAACAAGCUAUACUAGAGCAAGAAUAUCUCAUAUCAUCAGGGUUAAAAGCAAGAGUAUCCCAUAUCAUGCUUUUUCCCUGUCUUUUCCUUUGGCCUUGUUUUUACCUGCAAGACAAGGAGAAAGAGAGCAAUCAGUCAGCACUUGAAAUCAAGCUCCCAGCCAGGAACUGACAGCCUGGAACCCCUUACCUGAUUACUUACCUGGCAUUGCUCUCGAGUACUCAUCUUCAACAUCUUAUGUUGCCAGGGAAGAUACCGUAUCUGCUUGAGGAACAGAUAGGGCAAGUGCGAAGGAUACAAGGAAGCAUGUGGAGACAAGCGUAACAGCACACGUGCCGAUCCAUCCAUUACUCUGUCAAAAGCAAAAGUAUCCCAUAUCAGCAGGGUCGAACGUACUCUAGAUUUGAUGGACUUGUUUUGACCCUCAAAUUCUUCAGUCGGCCUUAUACUCUGGAGGAAACCAGAAAACCCUCCAGCUCAGUUCAAGAAUAAGCCUGUGGAAAGUUACUUCUUCAAAAGCAAAAGUAUCCCAUAUCAUCUCUUCUCAUUUUUCUUCUCUUUAUCCUUCAUGCUGCUGCAAGAUGGGGAGAAGGUGAACAAUCAGCCGGAGCUCUGAUUGCUUACCUUGUCUGUCACCUCUUUCAGCAAAUCCCCUAGCUCGGCGACUUGGGGGACUCCUACUACAUGGUUUGUAUCGCGCUUGACCAAGCCUGAAACUACAAGUAAGCUUCAAGUGAAAUUGAUACAUUACCUUGUGCAUCUCCACCAGUUAAAGAUAUCACCCCUGGAUGGAGGAAGAGUACUUCCAGAGAAGCUGCCACAUCUACCUAUGAGACAGAUAAGGCAAGUCGAUACCACACUCCGAUACUUAGAAGUUUCGUGAUUACGAGAUCAUUCUCCCACAAUAUUUCCUAAUGUCAUUUGUACUCUAAUGUCAUUUGUACUAAAUCAUUCACUUGUACUCACUAAAGGAGAGCUUGAACCUAUGUACUUGUGUAAACCCUUCACAAUUAAUGAGAACUCUUCUAUUCCGUGGACGUAGCCAAUCUGGGUGAACCACGUACAUCUUGUGUUUGCUUUCCUAUCUCUAUCCAUUUAUAUACUUAUCCACACUAAUGACCGGAGCAAUUUAGCGAAGAUCACAAAAAGCGACCGUUUUCGCUACCUAGGAUCUAUCUUACAAAGAACGGAGAAUUAGAUGGAGAUCUCAACCAUAGAAUACGAGCUUGAUGGAUGAAGUGUAAGAGUGCAUCCAGCAUGUUGUGUGACCGUCGUAGGCCACUGAAGCUCAAGGGAAAAUUUUAUAAGACGGCAAUAAGGCCAGCGAUGUUGUAUGGCACAGAAUGUCAGGCGGUGAAACAUCAACACGUACACAAAAUGGGUGUAGCAGAGAUGAGGAUGCUUCGUGGGAUGUGUGGGCACACGAGAAAGGAUAAGAUUGAGAAUGAGGAUAUCCGAGGUAAAGUAGGAGUAGCCGAAAUUGAAGGAAAGAUGAGAGAAAAUCGGUUCCGGUGAUUUGGACAUGUGCAAAGAAGGCCGACUGACGCUCCGGUUCGAAGAUGUGACUACGGGACAGAGGUUCAGGGCCGAAGGGGUAGAGGAAGACCUAGGAAAACUUUGGAAGAGACUCUAAGAAAAGGCUUAGAGUACUUGGAUCUAACGGAGGACAUGACACAAAACCGAGCGCAAUGGCGUUCUAGGAUUCAUAUAGCCGACCCCACUUAGUGGGAAAAGGCUUUGUUGUUGUUGUUGUUGUUGUUGU